ACGAACGCUGGCGGCGUGCCUAAUACAUGCAAGUCGAGCGGACGAAUCGAAAGCUUGCUUUUGAUUCGUUAGCGGCGGACGGGUGAGUAACACGUGGGCAACCUGCCCUGUAGACGGGGAUAACACCGAGAAAUCGGUGCUAAUACCGGAUAACACGAAAUGUCGCAUGACGUUUCGUUGAAAGACGGCGCAAGCUGCCGCUACAGGAUGGGCCCGCGGCGCAUUAGCUAGUUGGUGAGGUAACGGCUCACCAAGGCGACGAUACGUAGCCGACCUGAGAGGGUGAUCGGCCACACUGGGACUGAGACACGGCCCAGACUCCUACGGGAGGCAGCAGUAGGGAAUCUUCCGCAAAGGACGAAAGUCUGACGGAGCAACGCCGCGUGAGCGAAGAAGGCCUUCGGGUCGUAAAGCUCUGUUGUUAGGGAAGAACAAGUAACGCAGUAACUGGCGUUACCGUGACGGUACCUAACGAGAAAGCCACGGCUAACUACGUG
rnacentral:rRNA from 1 species